UGGGGAAUAUUGGACAAUGGGCGCAAGCCUGAUCCAGCAAUGCCGCGUGUGUGAAGAAGGCCUUCGGGUUGUAAAGCACUUUUAUCAGGAGCGAAACGCUGUCGGCUAAUACCCGGCGGAACUGACGGUACCUGAGGAAUAAGCACCGGCUAACUUCGUGCCAGCAGCCGCGGUAAUACGAAGGGUGCAAGCGUUAAUCGGAAUUACUGGGCGUAAAGCGUGCGUAGGCGGUUUCUUAAGUCUGCUGUGAAAUCCCCGGGCUCAACCUGGGAAUGGCAGUGGAUACUGGGAGGCUAGAGUGUGUCAGAGGGUGGUGGAAUUCCCGGUGUAGCGGUGAAAUGCGUAGAGAUCGGGAGGAACAUCAGUGGCGAAGGCGGCCACCUGGGACAACACUGACGCUGAGGCACGAAAGCGUGGGGAGCAAACAGGAUUAGAUACCCUGGUGGUCCACGCCCUAAACGAUGCGAACUGGAUGUUGGUCUCAACUCGGAGAUCAGUGUCGAAGCUAACGCGUUAAGUUUCGCCGCCUGGGGAGUACGGUCGCAAGACU
rnacentral:rRNA from 1 species